UGAUUUAUUGGAAAAUCCAAAAAUGAAACCACUUUUUACAUCCUUCUUGGAGUAUAAAUUCAGGCACCUCCACCACAGCCAGAGCCCAAGUCUCAGCUGGAGGUCAGAGUCAGCAGCUUACCAUGCUCUGGGAAGGAACCCACUCUCCAUGUAGGUCUCUCUGGAGUGAUCUGAAGACAGGAGCUGACCUCGAGGAUACAGGAUUAUUGCAGUAAGGGAAGGAGGCUCUGGCGAUGUGGAAAACAACCCAGCCAUAGAGCUGCAAGCAUCUCACAGGCCACGAAGAAGGAACUGUCUUCACAGGAAGGAUCAACAAGGUUCUGCUGGAAAGAACAGG